GUCUGCUCAGCCCGUCCUAGAACAGAGAGGGGUAGGAUCAGGAUUUUGGGUUUGGGUGACGCGCUUUAAUCACGUGCCCUUAUUUGAGAGCGCCUGGCGUACAUUUCUUUCCCUUCUCGCCACUCCAGCAGCGCCCAUGUCAGCCGGGCACAUAAUCAGUGUGCCAUAAAGCAGUAGAUGCUCCUUAUCGCGGUGACCCGACGGGUUCACGCUAGUUCACAGGGUUCAUCUGAGGAGAGGUCUCGGCCCCUCCUGUUCCCCUGAGACCCGGAGCGGAGAGAAACCUAAAUGUUAUUCAUUUCUGUAUCAAUAACGGAUUUCCAUUCGCAUUCAGCAGAGCCGACGAAAAGGUUCACAGGGAGUUGUUACUUUGCUCCCUUUUACAAUGGGAAGUCCUGAUAGCUGAAGAUUUUACCAAUUGCUGGUUCAUCACGGCUGGCUGAUGACACCUCAACUUCAUACAAUUCCAGUAUUUGUUUCUGACUCUUUACUCAUCUGCACAAUCCUACACUAUGGCCAGCAAGAGGAAAUCCACCGUUCCCUGUAUGAUUCCAUCAAAAAACAAGCACUUGCGGGAGGACAUCAUACUAGGAUGCUUACCUGAGCUCCUACCCACAAUACCUGAAGACAGCAUCCUCAGUAUCUCUUCAAAAGAUGAGAAUACACAACGAUUCCAUGAUCUCUUGAAAGCCGAACCGAAGACUUCAUGCUGGGAAAGGGGAACAUAUAGCUGCCCUCUGUGCUGCUUUGAGUCCGGAGACUUGAACCUUUUUCUUCACCAUAUGGACAACUGUCACAUGGAGUUUCAUGCUCAACCAAACUUUUACUGCCUGUCUUGCAAGGUUUCAGCGGUGAAGUUUGAAGGUCUCGCUUUACAUAACGCAAAAUCACAUCCUGAACUCCAUACCACACACAAGAGAGUAUCCUUGCAGGUUACCAAACGAGAUGGAGCUAUCACAGUGGAGCAAACCCUGUUUACAGAAGAGGAUUCCAGUGAAUCUGGAAUAUCCAUUACCAAGACACCCAUAAUGAAAAUGACCAAAGGGGGGCACAAAAAAAUUGUCGUCUCCCAUACUGUUGAGGUACACCGGGCCGAGCCUAGCAGUGAAAAGCCCGCAACUGUAACCAAUGGCACUUCAUUAAGGACCUUACCCAUAACAACAUCACAUAUCAUCGGUGGCACUACUGCCCCUCCGGCCCAUAAAGUCCUAAACACGCAUGGAAUACCAGGGAUGCAUAACCGUGGUCCUCUGUGGAACUCUAAUCCGUCAUCACCUGAUUCAAACGUUGAUCUCCCAAAGGUCAUGAUCCCCCUAAGUAGCAUCCCCACCUAUGAUCCAGCCAUGGAUUUAAGCAGUUUUCUUAAGACGUCCUUUGGUAAGUUUCCUUACCCUACCAAAGCAGAGCUCUGUUACUUGACGGUGGUCUCUGGCUUCCCAGAGGAGCAGAUCAAGCUCUGGUUCACGGCCCAAAGGCUAAAGCAAGGGAUUAGUUGGUCUCCUGAGGAAAUCGAGGACACGCGUAGAAAGAUGUUCAACACUGUAUUCCAAGCCACGCCGAAAACGUCACAGAAUCAGUCCUAUCACCACAUUUCCCAACACUGUGUUUCUGUCCAGUCUGGCUCUUUGAGUUCUAACUAUAUACAUCAGAUACCAAAAGGAAAUGUAAUGGGUUGGAAAGGAGGGGUCAUAGUUAGUCAGCCUAGUGUGACCCAGACCACAUCCCUUAAGCAGCAGCAGCAUCCAGUGGUCCAGGUGCCACAGGUAAACAUCCAUCAUGCUGUCAUCACUAAGGAAACUGGAAAUGAAUUAUCUUGUCGGACAGCUGAGAAUUGCAACAUUGCAGGCCGAGGAGGUAGCGUGAGCAAUCAUGGACACACUGGAAAAGGUGAGACUGGCAUCAGCUCAUCCAUCAAGACUAGUAUUAGCUGCUUGCCUGGCACUCCCAAGAGUCAAAACAGCAGUUACAGUGAGGGCAGCAUUAUGAAUCUGACGAACAUAGUCAGGAAAAUUGACUGUCAAGUCAAUGACAGGAACACAAAUUGCACCAGCAAAUCUAACAUCAGUCCAACUUCCAUUUAUGGCCAACAGAAAGCAUCCAGUAUCGCGAAAGAAAGCAGUAACAGCAGCUUCGCCACCACCAGCAAAUAUAACAAUGGAAGCACUUAUAAAAGCACCAGCCACAAUACUAUUUGCACUAAAAGGGAGGGAAACAUCUUAGAUCACACCAGCAAAAGCAACUCUGACACUACUGUCAUUUGUAGCAGCAGCAGCAACAUGCGAACUAAAGAAUUCACAGCACCCCUUACCCAUAGCCUGGUCCCAAAGCCUGGAAGUCUCAUGGAUCCAUCCCUUGGAAAGGGCAAGAUAUUACCUGAGCAACCAGGCACUCUGAAGCAAAGCUUUAUACAUAACUCAUUCCCAGAACAAAAGCAGUUUCUUGCUCCCCAAGGUCAACCAUACCAUGUACGUACUUUGACAGACUCCCAGUCUGCUUUGGGGGGAUCGUUUAGUAACUUGCCCCAGAGCUCCCUCCAGUCUAAUCCUGCAGCAAGUUCGCGUCUUCUGGAGGAACCGAGUCAGCACUCCUCUCCAUCCCUUUCUGCUCAUCAGGAGCAACAUUCUCCAGAAACCCUGCUGGGAGCACCUCAGGUCCAGUCCACAGACUUUACUGCCGUCCACUACAAGGAACAUGACCCCAAGCACUUACCUGCCUUAGACAAAGACUCCAAGCAAUCACAUUUUGAUAAAGAAAGGUUGCACAGAAACAUAACACAAAAAGAAAACGAAGGAAGGGUUUCUGAACAGCAUAGCGGAAUAACAAAUGCAUUUUACAAGUCGGACAAGAACGAGCAUAGCAACCUUGUUAACACACUACAUACCUUCACAAACGAUAACACUAACCAGGCUAAAGAAGGCAUGCCGCUUUUACGACAGUACAUACAAGAAGUGGACCAAUGGGAAAAGAACAGCGACUAUCCUGAAGAGUCAACCGUGAGCCCUAUGAAGAUAAAUGUAAUUGCGUUGAACAGUGAAGAGAGUUUGUACAAGACCAACAGCAAGCAGCUAAUCAGCAAGCCGUUGGAGAACUUGAUCAAUGACAGUGGUCCCAGCCAUAAAAACAAAUCUUCAGAAUGGCAUGAAAGCUAUCGGCACAUACCGGUGGAGGCUGAAGAGCGUAUAUCUGACAUAGGUAACACUGAACCACAUCAACCAGAUAACCUUGUGGGGCUUGAAACUGAGCAAGUUAAACGUGAUCUACGGCCAGAACAGAAAAGUAUUUUUCAGAGUCUAGAUUCUGAAGCUCCAAAGUUGCCGAUAAAGAAAAAAUCAAAGGAGGCUCUGGCAGAAUUGGACAAAUCAACUGCAGGAGAACAAGAUUACUGGGAGAUAAAGGAUGAGGAGCAUCAGCAACCAAUGGGGAACCAGAGUUUGAGGGGGCAUCAAGCACAAGACAGUCAAUCAAGAGACCCAUUGUAGUUUUUCUAGCAACUGACUUGUUGAGACUGACUGAGUCUUCAACUGCUGUCUACUACUCUUGGAUUGUCACAUCACAUUACAUUGUUUAAGGGACUGUCUGAGAGGAGAGCUUCUGAAAGUUUAAGGACUUCACUCCACAAGACGAAGAGGCAGAGGAUCCCGUAUUCAUCUGGAACAUUACAUUUCUUGUUUUCUUUAAAUAUGACAGCAGAUGAGAUUGUAACACAUUUGUGAUGGUCAAUGGACUUGAGUUUUUGGAAGACGGCCAAUCCAGAGAGUAGCCGCUACAAAUGUAGGUCUGAUUUGAUUUAGGUAAAUUCUGUGUAGGAAACUAUGAUGUAUAUGCUUGAAACUGCACUAUCGAGGGUGUACUGGACGUUAGGAAUGUCAGUUAGAUAUUGUGAUACUUCGUAAUAUGUCAGAUGAUCAGCACUUCUGCAAUGCCUUGGGUUUUAUGAUAUUUGUUGGGAUUUUCCAACCAGUUUUCCUUCUUCAUUGUCCAGAUCAAAUAAGUUCUCCAUGGCUUAUUUUUCCACACAACAUCGAGCAGUUAGUGACAAAUCAUGCACUAUAACUCGCUUUAGUGGUGUCUGUCUGCACACACAACAAAUUGGCCAGACAUUGCCUUAAACGUCACCUUUCUAUUUCUAUGACUGGCUGCACAAACAAGCUUUCAGCAACUGUGUUGAUGUGUGUAUAAAUUGGGGAUUUGAAUCCCAACAGAACUGCUGCUAUAUCUUCGGAGGUGUUUUUAUAAGCAUUAGCAAGACUAUUAUAUAUAUGUGAAAAGCUUAAAAAAAAAAAAAAAACGAAGAAAUUUUAAUUUAUGGUGGAGAAAGUUUAAAACGGUGUGCUUACAAUCCGAGGGGUAUUACAGUUCUCACAGACAGUCAAAUCAAGUGCUCUGCUAACUGGAUAUUCCCUGUGUUUGAGUUGGGCUACAAUAUAAAUAUAUAUAUAUAUAUAUAUAUAUAGUAUAUAUAUAUACACACACAUUAUGCAUCAUUUAUAUGCUGCUAAGUUCAGACCAUCCAAAGUGAAUAACAGGUGCUUUUCAUCCCUUAUUAUUUGCAUUUAUAUCCAAUGUGGUUUCUCUUUUAAAAGUUAACACGUAAAGAUAAUAUCUGGACUUAACAGUAUUACCUUCCCAUCCGUUCCCAUUGUGCAGGUCUGUCUAAAAGAACACAGUGCACUGGAGUGUUAUCCUUUCUACACAUUACAAAUCUUUUGGUAAUAAAUGGAGAAUGUCAAAUUUAAAAA